UGCAUAAUCUUCAUUUCCGCUUACUUCUCCAAUGGCCUCUCUAAUGGCUUCCCAAACCCUUCUCCUCAGAACUCCAAACCCCACCCUCCAUGCACCCCACUGCACACCACUCCCCUCUUUCCAUGUCUCCCUCCCCACCUUCUCUCCGCCCAAAUCCCACCGCCUGCGCCUCCGCUUUCGCCGCGCCGCAAAACUCGCCAUCUCCGCCUCCACCACCACUCCCACAACUCCCUUCACCGAUUCCACUCGCACCGUGUCCGCAAUUUUGGCUUCAGCUCUCGCAGUUUCCAAAGUAUUCAUCGCCAAAAUCCAAGAUAUUUUUCUCAAUUUGAAGCAAAUUGAUUUUACUCCUAACCCCGAAGAGCUCGCCGCAAUUCGUGACCUCC
rnacentral:lncRNA from 1 species